UUGCAGCAACAUUUAUUCAACCAGGAUUAUUUAAGCAUUUGAAAAUGCAAUAUGCACCCUCCACGUGGGAAGAUUUCUGGAUGAAAAUAUAAACUGCAUUGCAUCAGUGUAAACCAGAAGUAUCCUCACUGAAGGUUUAGCAUGGUGCCCAAGAGGAAUGUAGUGUUGGGGUAAUGAAGGAGCAAAGAAAACAAGUCUCCUUGAAUUUCAGUUCUCCUGAUUUACAUAGCAGUCUUCUCAACAGGGAAAACGAUUCUAUUACCUGCAACAGAACACACACCUCAUUAUGGAUGAGUGGUGCACAUUGCUUUAAUGAAGCCACAAACUACAACACAGGAAUCGUGAAGGGCUCAUCUGGGGUGCAGCUGCUUACCUGGUUGUAGAAACACACAGGGAAUGUAUACAUUUUAUCCUUUCUCCAGCUAAUAUGCAAAGAGUUGUAAGGGUAAUUAAAUUAAUGAUAUUACAUCAGUGUUUAUGUAGAAAAUAUUUAUUUAUAUGUGUUUAAAUAUAAAAUAUCAGCCCUCUUUCCAUCCAAUAACUGCCGUCAUUCCAGGAUCUACUUUCAACGUUUCUGUUUCUCUGGAGAAAACCGUACAAAAGUUAUUAAACACAGAAAGGAAUUUUGCUAAAUGUUCCUUUUCAAGAUAUCAGCAAUAUAUUAAUAUAUAUUAAGGCUCAUUUAAAAUAUAUUCCAUUGUUUUCAAGACAACACAUCUAUUAUUAACGCUGCAUUUAUCAAUUUGAAAGCAGUGCAAGUCUCAGGAGGAAAUCCGCAUGGCGCAGAUACAGCAGAUACUGUGGGUGUGUGUUGAGUGCCUGUUUGGAUAUAACAGUAACAAAGGAGUUUCUGGCUUUGUUCAUGUUGCACAGCUAUAGUACCCCUGAAACUUUCAUUUGACUUUCAAAGUGAAUCCUCUGAGUGCCCACAGCGUCUGACCCCAGGACUGACCUCCAGGACAUCCUGAGCACAAUCUGGCUGGAGGAAACCAGUGAGGAGAAGCUGCCCUUUCGGUACCUGUCAGAAGAUCCUUAGGCACACUGUGAAUCACCCUGACAUGGAGCAUGUCAAAGGCCCAGCAACCCCCAGCACAUGUCCCAUCUGAGAAAGAGAAAAGGGAGGAGCUGCACCUACAGUAUCCCAUUGUGUGGAUCUUCAUAAGGAACACCUGUAAGCCAUUCAGCAAAUCCAUGCAUUUUCAGGUUCUUCUGAUCACAGAUAAAUCUCUAGUCUUAUGUGACAGUCUCAUAUCACAAGCACAUACCUGCCUGCCAUGCAGCCCAAGUCAGCCAUCUAUUAGGAGUAAAAGACACGUAAGAGACCAUCAUCCUGCUGUGACAAAGGCAGUAGAAACAUGAUUUCUCUGUAAACAGUGCAAGCACAAUCUUCUCAUCCAGUAUCCAGGCCUCCUCCAACAGUUCACCCAUCCCCAGGGCUGAAAAACAGCCAUUCUCAGCCUGGAACCAGGUUGCAAGUAUUCAUCUGGGUCAAGCCUCAUAGCCAUUAAGGAAAAGAUGAACUGCUUUUUUUGGGCAACCACUUUCUGGGGUGGGUCCCAGAAUGCUUAGAGUCAUCUGCUGUUGCUCUUGACACACCAUCAGGUCAUGUUCCUGGAUAUACGCCCUGUAAAGUGUAUGGCAGCGUAGCCCCUCACAACAAUAUGCCUUGAUCUUUUCUUGCAUGAUGAUCCCUAGGACCUUUGCCUUUCCACUGUCUCCCAACCUCAUUUAUGAUAGCUUGUGACACAUACUAAUGCGAGUGAGACCAAUACAGAGACUGAUGAUGGGACAUUUUAGAGUAAGAUGUUAUUUCAUGGCACAGACAAGUAGAGUGGGUGAACACUAAGAGUAUCUUGCUAGACAUGCUGUGAGGACUGGUGAAAUGUCUUGAUGAGAAAACCUUAUCCAGUUGGGAUAUAUCUGAGCUACCCUAGAAAUGUCCUGGCAGCUUGGUGUGUUGACAGCAAGUAUGAAUGCAAGGUGCUCUUGCUGGAAUGGUCUUUAGAGUGGCUGAAAAGCACAGUGGAGACAGAACCAGUGAAAAUGAGAAUUACUAAGUUAAACCUCCAGCUUGCCAAAAGCACAACUUCCAUGGGGUAACUGUGUAAGAAGGGGGGUAGAGGUGUGAGGCAAAGAAGUUACCAGUUCCAAAUUACCUUCAGAUAUAACACUACAGUUAAUACUCACAAAGUUUAGGCUUUAUUUUCAAGCUGUCUAUAUUUCUGAAAGCAAAAGUGAAGGCAGAGCACAAGUAUGGGGAACGUGGAAGGUCUAUACAGUCUUGCUCUAAUUUUCUUGCCACCGAAUGAGAAUUCAGGUGCCUGGAUGAGGGAGAGUCCUGUGGUAAUUCUUCAGUGCUUGCUGCCCUGAGCCCUGUAACCCUUGUGAAUGCAGAGGUCUCCCAUCAUUCCCUCAGCUGCCUCUGGACUUCUGUCCACUUUCCUGUCUCAGAUCUGCUCUGAGUCCUUUCAGCCCAACCUCUUGCCUCCCAUCACUCAACUCUUCCCAUCUCAAAACCUUCCCUGUCCUCUGCCCAUCUGUUCCCAAAUCCCAUCCUGACUUAACAACCCAGGUUCAUGCUCCCUGACACUUCUCUACUACCUUUUCCUACUCAUGGCUAUCUCUACGAGGCACAGCUUUUGGCAUGCAGGCUGUUGUGCUCCUCUACCCCUGUAGUGCCUGCAGCCUGUGGAGGCAGCUGCUGCCACACCAAGCCACCACUGCUGCAGGCAUCUGCCUGUACCCUUCAGCUUGUCUUCACCCACGUCCUCCCAGCAGUGGUUGUGGCUUUUAUUCUGGCAGGGAUUUAAAAAUCCUGCAGAGAAGUUACAUUUAUAAAAUACUGACCUAGAUGCACUUCAGAGGAAAAGUUCAGGAAAAAGAUUGGAAAAGAGAGGUUUCCUUGCAGGAGCACUCGCUCCUCUACCAGCCGUAGAGAUUUUCUGGGAGAAUCGUUGAGGGUUAAAUAAAUCUUAAAAUGGUUGGAAAAUGUUUUUAGGAGAUCUUGGCUUUGCCUCAAGAUCCUAAUAUAGCAUUAAGGAGAAUUACAUAAUUUAAAGACGGCAAAGGCCAAGCAGAUGACCCAGUGCAACCUCUCAGCAGUACAAUCUUGCACUGUUUAGCAUAUUUUGUGGUGUCUUUGUCCAGUCUAGAUCCGAUUUACAAGAGAUGAGGCUUCCUGUACUCCUUUGACAGUUUACAUGAUAUUAACCUUAAGAAGUUUGCAACAUAAGAAGUCUGAUACCUGUGACUGUCAUUCAGACUACAGAAACUUCCAUUUUACACCAUACUAAUUUCAGUUAUGUACAAAAGCUGAAACAUACUGUUAUAGUUCAGCAGCAACAUAAAUAAAAGCAAAAAUGGGCUACUCAGUCAUUUUCUCUUUACUAAUCAUUCACAGGGAAAAAGAAUUCUGACUAAGCAAGAUCUCUCUCUUCCUAUAAUUGUCAGUGCACCUCACCUGUUUUCAACACUUACCUCUGCUCUUCUGGCUGAGGGUGUCUUUUUUUUUUUUCUUCCUUUCAUUUCUCUUUUUAAUUUUGACCUUUUCAGUCAUUUCUCAAUACCUUUUCUCAGUUGCUUUGGGGGAUUUUAUGAAAUACUUCAGAUCAUUCUGCAAAGCUGUAGGAUGCCUGAAGUUCACAGUAACUCUUACUGAUUUACUAUAGUGUGUGAAGGAACCACUGUUCCACCGAAAUCAAAAAGGAUUUUGAUACAGAUUUUUCUGGGGUUCAAAUGCCACCUUGUUUCUGCUGUUUUUCAGGUUUAUUUUCCACUUCCAAUAAAACUUUGAAAUCACUAAUUCUGAUAAGAGUGAUUUGAUACCAAAUAUUACAGCAGCAAAUAAGAUGUGUCAGAUUGACUUUUAACACUUGUGUCAAGCAGGAUUUUGUUCUAGUAGGCCACACACAGUACUACAGAUUUGUGUGCUUAGUUGUGCAGAUAAGAAAAUCACAUUGACUUGAGCAAGACUACAUGGAGGCACAAAUUCAUUAAGGAUGACUGUGUGAUGAAGGAUGUCAUUGUCCGCAUGACACAAUGGGAACAGCUUGGCUUGCGUUAGUGCUGAAAAACUUCAGAACUUCAGGAUUUGAGUUUUCUGCAUGAAUUGUAACAAGGCCAUUCCACCAGUUACGUUGCUCUGUGCAAUGAAAAAAGAUGAGAACUGUACUAGAAUUGGCAUUGAAAUAAAGAGAUAGUAUAAGUGCUUUUGCUCUCAAGCGCUUGGGGUGCCAUUUGAGUUGUCAAGUCUUCUUAUACUGAGUAACAUCCACACCUGUCACGUGUUGUUGAAAGACACUUCUAAUUCUUCGCCAAUAUAUUUUUGGACAGAGAAAAGCAUUUCUUGUUAUGAUAGUGAAUGACAAGCUUUACAAUUUCAUUUGUGGGGUAGUAUCUGCAGAGAAUUUAAGUUGAAAUGAGAAAGACCUGGCCUCUGCUUGGACAUGUAUGUACAAUGGAUGUAACAUUACCUGUCAUACAACAGGCUGGGACUACUCUUCAGAAUUUUUCUUUGUAACUGUGUGGCCUAGAUAUAUUUGAAAUAAAUCUGGGUAAAAUGUUUGCUAUUAUGUAAUGGGUAUUCUGGCUCAGAUACCUAUACAAAACACAAUUUUUGCUUUGUUGUAAUUUGAUGUGCUCAUUUUGAAAAGGCAUUGGCUUUCCCCAUUGGGUUGAAAUAUUCAUAAGGAAAAAAAAUAUUUUGCAAAACUUGCAUUUUUCCAUGAACCUAACAAAGUGAAAACUUAGUAAAUGGCUCAAGUUAUAAACUAUUAAUCAAGCUGAUAAUUUGACAUUAUAUUGUUAUAAAAACAAUGUUUUUGAGUCACCUUAAGUGACUCAGUCCUCCUGGAAUAAAGCACUGAACUUCCAAGAGAUGAUAGUCUUUCUGGUAAUCUGAAUGCUGAACAAGAUAAUUGUGAUUAAUGGCUAUCAUAAUUAAUGUAGAAUAAAUUAGUAAUUGCUUUCAACUUUGCAGUAAAAUGCUGAAGAUAACACGUAUCUUCUGUGAUGUACUUACUCUACAUCUACAAGACAUUAAUGUUUUAAUGCAUACUAUUAAAUGAUGUGAAACUGCUAUUAUUCAUUUGCUUUGGAAAAAAAUAUUUUGUAUCUUACUCUUGAUCAGGUAGUAAAAUCUCAUUAAAUUAGAGAUAUUUACAGGGGAAGUAUGUAGGAUAUGUC